AGAUUGAACGCUGGCGGCAGGCCUAACACAUGCAAGUCGAGCGGUAGAGAGGUGCUUGCAUCUCUUGAGAGCGGCGGACGGGUGAGUAAUAUAUCGGAACGUACCCAAGAGUGGGGGAUAACGUAGCGAAAGUUACGCUAAUACCGCAUACGAUCUAAGGAUGAAAGCGAGGGGACCGCAAGGCCUUGUGCUCCGUGGAGCGGCCGAUAUCUGAUUAGCUAGUUGGUAGGGUAAAGCCUACCGAAGGCGUACGAUCGAGUAGCUGGUCUGGAGAGGACGACCAGCCACGAUGGAACCUGAGACCACGGUCCACGACUCCGUACGGGAGCAGGCAGGUACGGGUAAUUUU
rnacentral:rRNA from 1 species